rnacentral:rRNA from 1 species
UAAUACCGGAUAGAUCAAAGAUACUGGAAUGUUAUCUGGUCGAAAACUCCGGUGCCCAAGGAUUGGUGUGCGGCCUAUCAGGUAGUAGUAGGUGUAACGUACCUACUAGCCUACGACGGGUAAGGGUUGUGAGAACAAGAUCCCUGAGAUGGAUUCUGAGACAUGAAUCCAGGCCCUACAGGGUGCAGCAGGCGCGAAAACUUUGACACUGCUGGAAACCGCGAUAUGGGGACCUCGAGUGCCAGCACCUAGUGCUUGCUGUCCCGCUGUCUAAUCAAGAGUGUUAGCAAGGGCCGGGCAAGACCGGUGCCUGCCAGCCGCGGUACACCGACGGCCUGAGUGGUAGCCGUUAUUAUUGGGUUUAAAGGGUCCGUAGCCGGCUUAUUAAGGCUCUUGGGAAAUCUGGCGACUCAAUCGUCAGGCGUCC